CUGAGCAAGCCCAUCUGGCAUGUUAGCAGAAGUCAGAAACCACCAGCAAAGAAGCAAGGUGAACCUCAAGCCUGCGGCCAGCUGGCUGCGAAGCAGGCACGAAACGUGACAGGCUCUGCAAACACCUGAAAAGAUAAAUUAAAGUUCCUGGACUCUCUCCCACAGAAUAAUGUCUUUCUCUGUGCUCCAGGAGAGCCUGAUUCCCACUUCCCACAGGUGGAUGAGCACUUUACAGAGUUCAGAUGAGGUUCCAGCUCCUUAUCUAAAAGGCUGAAUACUGAAAAUGUUUGAUGCUGGGCAUGCUGUGAGAACAGGCACAAAGAUGUUAAGGUUGACAAAUCACCUUCCAAAAAGCAGAUUCUGGAUUCUGGGAUUUUCUUCAUCAGAUGACCCAUGAAGAACUCACUACCAAAAUCUUCUGCACGAAUGAAGGCACCAUAUUUCAGGAACCCUACCUCAUAAGGAGUGAAUUCUACCCAUUCUGAAAUGAAAAAGCACACAACAGAAUGAUUACAGCAGUAUAGGCUCAAAAUAGUUGAAUAAAACCUGAUACUAGCCAAUUUAAGACAUCCUGAUUUCCAAAGUACCACACUUUGAAACAGA